rnacentral:rRNA from 1 species
GAUGAACGCUAGCGGGAGGCCUAACACAUGCAAGCCGAGCGGUAUUGUUUCUUCGGAAAUGAGAGAGCGGCGUACGGGUGCGUAACACGUGUGCAACCUGCCUUUAUCUGGGGGAUAGCCUUUCGAAAGGAAGAUUAAUACUCCAUAAUAUAUUGAGCGGCAUCGUUUAAUAUUGAAAGCUCCGGCGGAUAGAGAUGGGCACGCGCAAGAUUAGCUAGUUGGUGAGGUAACGGCUCACCAAGGCGAUGAUCUUUAGGGGGCCUGAGAGGGUGAUCCCCCACACUGGAACUGAGACACGGACCAGACUCCGACGGGAGGCAGCAGUGAGGAAUAUUGGUCAAUGGGUGCAAGCCUGAACCAGCCAUCCCGCGUGAAGGACGACUGCCCUAUGGGUUGUAAACUUCUUUUGUAUAGGGAUAAACCUACCCUCGUGAGGGUAGCUGAAGGUACUAUACGAAUAAGCACCGGCUAACUCCGUGCCAGCAGCCGCCGUAA